rnacentral:sRNA from 1 species
GAUGUGAAGUUGAUUUGGCUUCAACGGCUUUCUCUUCAUUGAUUGCCAGGGUUGAUCUGGCUCACCUGGCUGGGGAGCCAACCCCAAUCAGCCUUCUCUCUUC